rnacentral:misc_RNA from 1 species
UUUCCGUAGGUGAACCUGCGGAAGGAUCAUUACAGAGUUAGGGUCGCUCAGGCCCGACCUCCCACCGUGUGUUUUUGUGACCUUGAUGCUUUGGCGGGCCCGCCUCGAUGACAGGCCCCUGGAAGCCCACCGCUUUGGGCCCGUGCGCGUCAUUAUCCCCCUUCACUUCUUAAUAAACCUGUCGUUUGGGUUAAUGGAUAUAAUGAAAAAAAACUUUCAACAACGGAUCUCUUGGUUCUG